AUUGAACGCUGGCGGCAUGCCUUACACAUGCAAGUCGAACGGCAGCAUAGGAGCUUGCUCCUGAUGGCGAGUGGCGAACGGGUGAGUAAUAUAUCGGAACGUGCCCUAGAGUGGGGGAUAACUAGUCGAAAGACCAGCUAAUACCGCAUACGAUCUACGGAUGAAAGUGGGGGAUCGCAAGACCUCAUGCUCCUGGAGCGGCCGAUAUCUGAUUAGCUAGUUGGUGGGGUAAAAGCCUACCAAGGCAACGAUCAGUAGCUGGUCUGAGAGGACUACCAGCCACACUGGGACUGAGACACGGCCCAGACUCCUACGGGAGGCAGCAGUGGGGAAUUUUGGACAAUGGGGGUAACCCUGAUCCAGCAAUGCCGCGUGAGUGAAGAAGGCCUUCGGGUUGUAAAGCUCUUUUGUCAGGGAAGAAACGGUAGUAGCGAAUAACUACUACUAAUGACGGUACCUGAAGAAUAAGCACCGGCUAACUACGUGCCAGCAGCCGCCGUAA
rnacentral:rRNA from 1 species